rnacentral:rRNA from 1 species
GAUGAACGCUGACAGAAUGCUUAACACAUGCAAGUCGAUGGGGAAGUGGUGCUCGCACCAUGGCAACCAUGGCGGACGGGUGAGUAACGCGUAAGGGACUUACCUGCAGGACUGGGAUAACAGGGGGAAACUCCUGACAAGACCGGAUAAUGUCAUGGAGCUGCAUGGCUUUAUGAUGAAAGGAGACGCCUGCGGAGAGCCUUGCGUCCUAUUAGCUAGUUGGUGAGGUAAUGGCUCACCAAGGCGAAGAUAGGUAGCCGGCCUGAGAGGGUGGACGGCCACAAGGGGACUGAGAUACGGCCCUUACUCCUACGGGAGGCAGCAGUGGGGAAUAUUGGACAAUGGGGGCAACCCUGAUCCAGCAAUUCUGUGUGCACGAAGAAGGUUUUCGGAUUGUAAAGUGCUUUCAGCAGGGAAGAAGUAAGUGACGGUACCUGCAGAAGAAGCGACGGCUAAAUACGUG